CGUGGGAGGAGGCCAACUCUCGGGGCGCUCCCUAGCCCUGGGUGGGUGGAGCGGGGGAAGCGGAGUACGUUGGACCCGGCUCCGCCCUACCCCACGGGGCCGCCUGGAGAGGUGCUGGGAGCUGGGUGGAGCUUAGAGGAAUUAAACUUUGGCCCUGCGCCUCGUCCAGCCUAGGUUCCACCCUUUUCUGGGAACGGUCUUACUCUGUGACCCACGCUGGAGUGCAAUGGCACCAUCACGACUUACUGAAGCCUCCACUUCCCGGGCUCAAGUGAUUCUCACACCUCAGCCUCCUGAGUAGCUGAGACCACAGUUUACACCCCGCCACUCCUGAGCACCGCACACCGGCUUCCUCCCAGUCCCUCAUCUGAGAACUCAUGAAGCCACUUGGAAUCCCUCUCUGCUUUGCCUGGCUCAUUCCAUGUCAAUUUCAGAUCUUCACUUCAGGUCAGCUCCAAGGAGGCUAUCCUUGCCCAUCUUCCUAAAAUAGAGCUCUCAAAACCUGGCUGUUUUCCUUCAGAGCACUGGCCUCCAAUUGCUCCGGUAGAUUGCAAAUGACCUGCUUUCUUUCUGUUCCCGGGCGUUUGGACCCCUGUCUUGGACCGCUGUCGGAUAGUAAAUCCCAAGUAAGGUACCUGCCGUCGGCAGAUUUGAGCUUUCUUCUUGGACACCUAAUACCCAGAGUCCUCCAGGCUCCGGUAGAUUGCAAAUGACCUGCUUUCUUUCUGUUCCCGGGCGGCAUCGGACCCGUCGGAGAGUAAAUCCCAAGUAAGGUACCUGCCGUUGGCAGAUUUGAGCUUUCUUCUUGGACACCUAAUACCCACAGUCCUCCAGGCUCCGGUAGAUUGCAAAUGACCUGCUUUCUUUCUGUUCCCGGGUGGCAUCGACCCGUCGGAGAGUAAAUCCCAAGUAAGGUACCUGCCGUUGGCAGAUUUGAGCUUUCUUCUUGGACACCUAAUACCCACAGUCCUCCAGUAAAUCCCAAGCAAGGUACCUGCCGUCAGCAGAUUUGAGCUUUCUUCUUGGACACCUAAUACCCACAGUCCUCCAGUAACUCCCAAGUAAGGUACCUGCCGUCGGCAGAUUGGAGCUUUCUUCUUGGAGACCUAAUACCCACAGUCCUCCAGAAAAACAAACAAAGACAUGGAUUUACUGUGCAUAUUAGCAGAUCCAUACUGGAAAAUGCAUGGAGGUUUCAUAUACACCACUUACAGGUUUCCAAAGCCACAAUUUCCUUCAUAUGUUCAAACUCUUCAGGAUGCAGAAAGGCAGUGAACUCCUCCGGAGUAGCUGUCAGGUCACCAUUGAGGUCUGCAGCUUUGAAUCUUCUCUCAUCACGUGGCAGCAUCUUUUUAAAGGUGUGAUGAUCUGAAGAAUCAUGAAACUCUGCGGGGUUUCCUAGGUUUUCAGCUCCUCAGUAGUGACAAAGCCAUACCCAUCAUUGUCGAUUCGAUCAACAAUCUUCCCUAGCCUCUCCUUGCUCUCGUCCGGGGUGAGCUCGUCGAAGUUCUUGGAGUCCUCCUUGCCCAGGAAGGCCUCGUGGUCGUACUGGAAGCUCUGGUUGUCCUCAGGGGGCCGCUCGCCCAGCUCCGAGUCGGGCCGCACCACGCGCUCUUUGCGCACCGUGGGCUUGGCCCGCAGAACCCGCGGCGCCAGCACCAGCGCCAGCAGCAGCCCCAGGGCUAACCCCAGGCGGCCACCGCGCGCCAUCGUCCCGAGGAGAGGGCGGCCGGGAGGGAGACGCUGAGCGAGCGACAACAGCGGCAGCUCGGGAAUGGGGGCUCGGAGCGCGGCGGCCAAGUUUUAUGUUAUGUAUAUUUUACAAGUAAAAAAAUUUUUUCACCUCAGCCUGAACUGAACACUAGCUGACAGACGUUUUGAUUUCUUUGACCAUCACGGAAUCGUGGCCAAGCGCGGUGGCUCACAUCUGUAAUCCCAACACUUUGGGAGGUCAAGAUGGGCGGAUUGCUUGAAUCCAGGUGUUUGAGAUCAGCCUGGGCAACAUGACAAAACCCUGUUUCUAGUAAAAAUACAAAAAUUAACCAGG
ensembl:lncRNA TPT1-AS1 TPT1 antisense RNA 1